CGUAGUGUUUUUCAAAAUGUGUCCAUUAUUCAGUGUAAUAACCCGCGUAUUUGCGCUAUCAAAGUAGUGUUACAAGAGAAAUCGUUCGUAGUGAUGAGUGUAUAUAUGCCUACGGAUUCACUUGCAAACCUAAUGGAUUUUACGGACGUACUAAGUUCGGGUGCUGAUGGGGCUGCCCCGAUUUUGUAGCGCAUCAGGGAUGUUCGCGGAAGCACGGGUCGACUGUUUUUAUGCGACUGUACGCAAAAGAUGUGGAUCCCUGGUGAGCAGAGUGCGGGGCAGUACCAACAGCAUUCUAAAGAUGAUUGCGAGCAGGUUGGAUUGCAGAUAUGUGGGUCAUUGCUGCAGUAUUUCUAACGGAAUGGUGCAGCGGUGACACACAUCUGUAACUUAAUAAGUAAUAGGUUCAGGAUAAGUACUAACAUAGAAAAUAAGUUUGAUGUAUUACUAACAAUUAAUAUGAGUCAUGAUACUCGAAAUAAAGAUUUAUUAUUAUUAUUA